rnacentral:rRNA from 1 species
CACCUCUAGCAUUCCCAGUAUUAGAGGCACUGCCUGCCCAGUGACAUCAGUUAAACGGCCGCGGUAUCCUGACCGUGCAAAGGUAGCAUAAUCAUUCGUUCCCUAAAUAGGGACUUGUAUGAAUGGCCACACGAGGGCUUUACUGUCUCUUACUUCCGAUCCGUGGAAUUGACCUUCCCGUGAAGAGGCGGGAAUAUGACAAUAAGACGAGAAGACCCUAUGGAGCUUUAAUUAACCGACCCAAAGAGAUCUUAACAACUAACCGAUAGGGACAACAAACCUCUGCCAUGGGUCGACAAUUUAGGUUGGGGUGACCUCGGAGAAUAAAACAACCUCCGAGUGAUUUAAAUCUAGACUAACCAGUCGAAAGUACUACAUCACUUAUUGAUCCAAAAACUUGAUCAACGGAACAAGUUACCCUAGGGAUAACAGCGCAAUCCUAUUUUAGAGUCCAUAUCGACAAUAGGGUUUACGACCUCGAUGUUGGAUCAGGACAUCCCGAUGGUGCAGCAGCUAUCAAAGGUUCGUUUGUUCAACGAUUAAAGUCCU